AUGCUCAACAUUGGGGCUGUGCUGCUGUUACUAAUUGGUGUGACGGAUGGUGUGAAGACCUUCUGCAACGCCACACAGCCACACAUCACGACCCAGUGCUUUGGCUCUCUGGGAGGAACCGUGGAGGUCCUGCUCGUGCUGCCUACUCAGUCCUCACAAAAUGAUACCUUCAGACUGAAGAACAACAAUGUCACGAUUUUAUCAGAACGCAAUCAGACAAACAUUCGAUAUUCAUUUAAUGUCAGUACUGGAAUAUUUACUAUAAAGGACAUCGACAGGACAGACAAUGAUGAAUACUCAAUGGAAGUACAUAAUGCAUCUGGAAACCAAGUAGCAUUUACGAAAUGUUAUUUAACCAUUGAAGCCCCGGCCUCCUCUCCCCUCCUGUCCCGGCAGUGUCUGUCCCGGGGACAGCAGAGGGUGUCCUGCUCUGCCGGGGGGGACGGACUCCACUACAGCUGGAGUCCAGACGGACUCCCGCUGAACGACACGCGUGUCCACUCCGGACCCGGUAACGCUAGUGACGUCACUCUGGAGGUGGGCUGGGCGGGACUGGUCACCUGCUCGGUCAGCAACAACGUGAGCCACGCCGCGGCUAACAUCACCUUGUCUGUGUGUGACGGGUUCAUUUAUGUGAACUGCACAUCUAAUGGAACACAUAUAUCACAGUGGGUGCACGGAGACAACAAUACCUUAUGCCCUGAGGCAGCGGUCACUGUGGGACCCACAGACGAUGUCAAUACAACGGGGUUAAUAUAUGUAAACUGCACAUCUAAUGGAACACAUAUACGACAGUGGGUGCACAGAGACAACAAUACCUUAUGCACUGAGACAGCUGUGGCAUCCUUCAACUUCAAUAUAAUGGAGCUCGUCCCUAUAAUAGCUGGUUCCCUGUCAGCGAUAGCACUGCUCCUGAUAGUAGUAUUGGGAGUCUACUGCGCAAAAAAGCACAAAACCUCAAAAGACACCACAGAGGCGGAGGAUGUAACCUACGCAGACAUCUCUGUGCUCCAGCGUCAGGGGCAGCGGAGAGAGCAGGGGGCGGG
rnacentral:lncRNA from 1 species